GCAGGAUGUUGUGAUGAAAGUACUUUUGAACUUUUAGUAUUCAGAAGACUUGCUAAUGCAACAUUCCAUCAGACAGAGGUCUAUACAUUUGCUGGAGUUCGUUGUAAAUCUGUUGCCGAAGUUUCAGAUUUUUGUCAUCUAUAAAAUUGGUUAAAUUUCUGUGCCCAAGUGCAUAUUAAAUAUCAAGGUAUCACUGAUGAAGAGGCUGAGGCAUCCAAACGUGGUACUCUUUAUGGGUAGCCCAAAAUGCCGCCCAACAUUCAAGGAAGUGCUUGAAAAGUUGAAAGCUAUGCUGAGACAUAAUUUUUGUUCAAAAGACAACAUGUAUACGACCUUGCUGCCUUUCUGUCAGUAAAGAGAUGAGUUGGUAAUGGUGAAUCUAAGAUACUUGUUAUAGUAUAUCAACUACUGCUUUGUAAUAAUGGUAAGUGAAUACUAGUAAGUCUCUACAAGCAUUCAGAGAAAUAGUGUAUUCUUCGUGCUUGGUGUUUGUUUGCAUCAAGUCAUGCUCAAAAAUCGCAGUCCCUUUAAAAUGAAGAAUCAAGGAAUAACUUCACUGUAAAUCUGCAAAGAAAAUGAUGUUCCCGGUGUAUGAAGGAUGGA